rnacentral:rRNA from 1 species
GACGAACGCUGGCGGCGUGCUUAACACAUGCAAGUCGAACGGAAAGGCCCUGCUUUUGUGGGGUGCUCGAGUGGCGAACGGGUGAGUAACACGUGAGUAACCUGCCCUUGACUUUGGGAUAACUUCAGGAAACUGGGGCUAAUACCGGAUAGGAGCUCCUGCUGCAUGGUGGGGGUUGGAAAGUUUCGGCGGUUGGGGAUGGACUCGCGGCUUAUCAGCUUGUUGGUGGGGUAGUGGCUUACCAAGGCUUUGACGGGUAGCCGGCCUGAGAGGGUGACCGGCCACAUUGGGACUGAGAUACGGCGCAGACUCCUACGGGAGGCAGCAGUGGGGAAUAUUGCACAAUGGGCGGAAGCCUGAUGCAGCAACGCCGCGUGCGGGAUGACGGCCUUCGGGUUGUAAACCGCUUUCGCCUGUGACGAAGCGUGAGUGACGGUAAUGGGUAAAGAGGCACCGGCUAACUACGUG